ensembl:lncRNA
CUUUUUGUCUCAACACAACAUGCUGCGUGUUCUGGGUGCUGUAUGCUUGAAGAUGUCUAAUGCUGCUUGUGUGGUUGUUGGACCGUAUCUGCUUAGUAGUGUGUAAAUACCAGGAAGGCUCUCAAGCUCUUAGCAACCUCUCACAGUGGCAUUUCAUAAUGUUUACUGGUUACAAAGGCAGCCGAACAGAUGAUCCUGACAGCGGCCUCUCUGAUUCACUACCACCCCUUCAACUGUUCAUUACAGGCUGUAGAGGUGUGUGCCGAGAGACCC